UACGUAGGUGGCGAGCGUUGUCCGGAAUUACUGGGCGUAAAGCGUGCGCAGGCGGUUUGCUAAGACAGGUGUGAAAUCCCCGGGCUUAACCUGGGAACUGCGCUUGUUACUGGCAAGCUGGAGUGUGGCAGAGGGGGGUGGAAUUCCACGUGUAGCAGUGAAAUGCGUAGAGAUGUGGAGGAACACCGAUGGCGAAGGCAGCCCCCUGGGCUAACACUGACGCUCAUGCACGAAAGCGUGGGGAGCAAACAGG
rnacentral:rRNA from 1 species